ensembl:miRNA MIR135A1 microRNA 135a-1
AGGCCUCAUUGUUCUCUAUGGCUUUUUAUUCCUAUGUGAUUCUACUGCUCACUCAUAUAGGGAUUGGAGCCGUGGCGCACGGUGAGGAUA